AAGGAAGAAGCAUGGAGUUCAAGACUGCGGUGUGAACUGAGGAGUCCCGGACAGGCCGCUUGCUGCAGAGGGUCCAGUCCGGAUCCCAGGAGAGCCCCUCUGCCCCUUCAGACCGCGUCUCCCAUCUACAAAACGUGAAGAUUGGCCCAGUUGGCGUGUCUCUACCAAAAGGUGCAUAUACCACUGAAGCUGCUUUGUUUGCUUUUGUGUGUUGGAUUGAACUUUUCUUUCAUGAAUCACGGUUAGGAAAGGCUUCUCUUGUUUUCUGCUAAUAAAAAGCCAGCUUGGGCCAGGCGUGGUGGCUCACACCUGUAAUCCCAGCACUUUGGGAGGCCAAGGCAGGCGGAUCACCUGAGGCCAGGAGUUUGAGACCAGCCUGACCAACGUGGGGAAACCCUGUUUCCACUAAAAAUACAAAAUUAGCUGGCAUGGUGGCAUGCACCUGUAAUCCCAGCUAUUUGGGAAACUGAGGCAGGAGAAUCACUUGAGCCCAGGAGGCAGAGGGUCACUGAGCCGAGAUCAUCCCAUUGCACUCCAGCCUGGAUUAAAAGAGUGAAACUGUCUCAAAGG
rnacentral:sRNA from 1 species